AGGACUACAGGGGUAUCUAAUCCUGUUUGAUCCCCACGCUUUCGUGCCUCAGUGUCAAUCAAUCCGUAGUGAGCUGCCUUCGCAAUUGGUGUUCUAUGUCAUAUCUAAGCAUUUCACCGCUACAUGACAUAUUCCGCUCACCUCCAGAUAAUUCAAGACCUAUAGUAUCAAUGGCAGUUUCCGAGUUAAGCUCGGAGAUUUCACCACUGACUUACAGACCCACCUACGCACCCUUUAAACCCAGUAAAUCCGGAUAACGCUUGCACCCUCCGUAUUACCGCGGCUGCUGGCAC
rnacentral:misc_RNA from 1 species